rnacentral:rRNA from 1 species
CCUGGUUGAUCCUGCCAGUCGUCAUAUGCUUGUUUCAAGGACUAAGCCAUGCAAGUCUCAGAGUAACUGGAUUAAGAGGAGGUCUGCGUACGGCUCAUUACAUCAUCAAUGAUCUACCCAGCGUAGUACCUUUCUGAGGUACCAGUUGGAUAACUUCGGUAACUCUGAAGCUAAUACACGUAUGACAAAGCUUGCCCCCGUUCAAGCCCCGAGGGGAAACUCGAGGGGUGGGGGUGGGCUGCAGUUGGCCGGUAUGAGAACCAACGGUCGCGAGACCAGCACUCACACUGCCGAGACAGGCCAAUGUUGCGAAAGCGCACAUCCUCUGUGAUGGCGCGAUGCUGGACGAAUUUAUGCCCUAUCAGCUACGAUGGUAGGGUAGAGGCCUACCAUGGCUUUGACGGGUAACGGGGAAUUGGGGUUCGAUUCCGGAGAGGGUGCCUGAGAGAUGGCAACCAUACCUAAGGGAAGCAGCAGGCGCGCAAAUUACCCACUGCCAACACUGGUGAGGUAGCGACGAAAAAUAACAACUCUGCUGCACACACGUGCAGUGGAGAUUGUAAUGGAUUGUAUCCAAACCCACUGCUGAGUAUCAAUUGGAGGGCAAGCCCGGUGCCAGCAGCCGCGGUAAUUCCGGCUCCAAUAGCGUAUAUUAAUGUUGUUGCGGUUAAAAAGCUCGUAGUUGGAUUCAGGGAUUGUGAUUGUGGCGAGCCAUUCGGUUCCAGGGGGGCCGGGGGUGGCGGCGGCGGCAGGGACUGCACUCUGUGUUGCUCCUGUUGUCGUGGUCUUCUCCUCUCUCUGGGCCGUUUGGGACAAACUCGUCACAUUCGAUCAUGACCCUCAGUACGUGGUAAAGGUUCAGUUGAUGCAAGGUCUCUUCAUUGAGACUGGAGUCGCCUUCGCUGUCAAGACAAUCACACAGCUUACACUGCGACCACGGAUGUUACUGUGAGUAAAACAGAAUGCUUCAAGUAACCGACUCGUUCGGUCUGAAUGAUUCAGCAUGGAAUAACAAGGGAUCGACCACUAUCUUGGCUUCUUUUGUUGGUUUUCACGCCAUAGUGCGGCAAUUUGGGUCAGGAGUUUCAUCGUCAGGCCUGCAGUUUCUCCCGGCCUCACCUUGGGGUUUUGGGGGUGGCUGUCUUGUCUGUGCGUGUCCUGAUUACCUUCGGGAUCAAUAGAGGCAGUUGGGGUGAUCCGUACUUCGUGGUGAGAGGUGAAAUUCUUAGACCCACGAAAGACGAACAUCAGCGAAGGCAGUUCACCAAUCUGCUUUCAUUAAUCAAGAACGAGAGUAAGGGGAUCGAAGAUGAUCAGAUACCGUCGUAGUCCUUUACCGUAAAUUAUGCGGACUUGGGAUUGGUCAUUGCUCUGUCAGUGACUUGGUCAGCACCUCCCUUUCGGAAUCGAGAAAUCAAAGUUUAUGCGUUCCGGGGGGAGUACAUUCGCAAGGCUGAAACUUAAAGGAAUUGACGGAAUGACACCACCAGACGUGGAGUGUGUGGCUUAAUUUGACUCAACACGGGAAAUUUUACCAGGUCAGGACAUGGCAAGGAUUGCCAGAUUGAUAGCUCUUGCAUGAUUCCAUGGAGGGUGGUGCAUGGCCGUUCUUGGUUGGUGGAGUGAUUUGUCUGCUUAAUUGCGUUAACGAACGAGAUCUCUGCUGAUAAAUAGAUGCUCCUUCCGUUCUGUAGGCUUUCGGGGUGAUCUCGCCGGUGGGGCCUCUUCGGGGGUACCCCAUCGGUGUGGGUCACUUUGAGCUGAGGAGGGAGAUUGG